rnacentral:rRNA from 1 species
GAUGAACGCUGGCGGCGUGCCUAAUACAUGCAAGUCGAGCGAACAGACGAGGAGCUUGCUCCUCUGACGUUAGCGGCGGACGGGUGAGUAAAACGUGGAGAACCUACCUAUAAGACUGGGAUAACUUCGGGAAACCGGAGCUAAUACCGGAUAAUAUAUUGAACCGCAUGGUUCAAUAGUGAAAGACGGUUUUGCUGUCACUUAUAGAUGGAUCCGCGCCGCAUUAGCUAGUUGGUAAGGUAACGGCUUACCAAGGCAACGAUGCGUAGCCGACCUGAGAGGGUGAUCGGCCACACUGGAACUGAGACACGGUCCAGACUCCUACGGGAGGCAGCAGUAGGGAAUCUUCCGCAAUGGGCGAAAGCCUGACGGAGCAACGCCGCGUGAGUGAUGAAGGUCUUCGGAUCGUAAAACUCUGUUAUUAGGGAAGAACAAAUGUGUAAGUAACUAUGCACGUCUUGACGGUACCUAAUCAGAAAGCCACGGCUAACUACGUG